rnacentral:tRNA from 1 species
CAGAUUAUUCUUAAAGUUAAGGUUUUCAUUUACAUUGAAAUUAGCUAUCGUGCAAUACGAUAUAAUCUGA